rnacentral:rRNA from 2 species
ACGGGAGGCAGCAGUGAGGAAUAUUGGUCAAUGGGCGAGAGCCUGAACCAGCCAAGUAGCGUGAGGGAUGACUGCCCUAUGGGUUGUAAACCUCUUUUGUCCAGGAAUAAAAAACGGGACGUGUCCCGUCUUGCAGGUACUGGUUGAAUAAGGACCGGCUAAUUCCGUGCCAGCAGCCGCGGUAAUACGGAAGGUCCGAGCGUUAUCCGGAUUUAUUGGGUUUAAAGGGAGCGUAGGCGGAGAUGCAAGUCAGCCGUUAAAUCGUGGAGCUCAACUCCAUCCAGCGGUUGAAACUGCAUCCCUUGAGUACGGCAGGGGAAGGUGGAACUCGUGGUGUAGCGGUGAAAUGCAUAGAUAUCACGAAGAACUCCGAUCGCGAAGGCAGCCUUCCAGACCGCAACUGACGCUGAUGCUCGAAGGUGUGGGAAUCAAACAGGAUUAGAUACCCUGGUA